rnacentral:snRNA from 1 species
UAAGUCAGAAUCCGGGCU